rnacentral:rRNA from 1 species
GACGAACCGUGCGAACGUUGUUCGGAAUCACUGGGCUUAAAGGGCGCGUAGGCGGGCAGGCAAGUCAGGGGUGAAAGCCCACGGCUCAACCGUGGAAGUGCCUUUGAUACUGCUUGUCUGGAGGGGGAUAGGGGCAUGCGGAACUUCCGGUGGAGCGGUGAAAUGCGUAGAUAUCGGAAGGAACACCGGUGGCGAAAGCGGCGAUGCUGGAUCCCUUCUGACGCUGAGGCG